rnacentral:rRNA from 1 species
UACGGGGGGAGCAAGCGUUGUUCGGAUUUACUGGGCGUAAAGGGCGCGUAGGCGGUCAGCACAAGUCAGUUGUGAAAUCUCCGGGCUUAACUCGGAAAGGUCAACUGAUACUGUGCGACUAGAGUGCGGAAGGGGCAACUGGAAUUCUCGGUGUAGCGGUGAAAUGCGCAGAUAUCAGGAGGAACACCGGUGGCGAAGGCGGUGGUCUGGGCCGGCACUGACGCUGAGGAGCGAAAGCGUGGGGAGCGAACAGG